rnacentral:misc_RNA from 1 species
GGAUCCUUUCUGGGGCCAAUACAGAAACGGAGAGGAAGAGGGAGAUUGAGUGCAAGAACAAGCGAGCUAUGGCAGACAGAAGCUCAGCCACAAACACAGAGGAGGAUUUGCUUCUCAAGAGCUUCUUCGCUGAAGUCAGCGAAGUCGAGAGAGAUAACGAAGUCGUCAGGAUUCUUUCAUGCUUCAAGUUAAAUCCAUUUGAGUAUCUAAAUCUACCAUUUGAAGCAUCUCCAGUGGAAGUAAAGAAGCAGUAUCGUAAGUUGUCUUUGUUGGUUCAUCCUGACAAGUGCAAGCAUCCACAAGCAAAAGAGGCCUUUGCAGCAUUGGCAAAAGCCCAACAACUUUUACUUGAUGAACAAGAAAGAGAUUAUAUUCUUAGUCAAGUUACUGCAGCAAAAGAAGAACUUCUAGCGAAGAGGAGGAAACAAUUGAAGAAAGAUACAGCCAGUAAAAUAAAGUCAUUGGUUGAUGAGGUAUUUGUCCUUGACCAUUUUGCAGUUGUGUUUAUUUAGUUCAACAUGUAUCCAUUAAUUUUAAUGAUGCUGAGAUUCAUUUAAGUGCUAACCUGCAUCUCUCUCUGUUUGUCACAUUUCAUUCUUUGCCCCUUAUAUUUCUUUUCCAUCAGUUUUAAUUUUUAUUAUCUGUUACCAUUAUUGAUUGUUGCAUUUGAGAGUUACAUUGAAUGGAUAAAGUUUUCUUCUCAAUGUUUGUAGAACUUGAGAACUAUUAUUGUAUUUUGCAGAACUUCUUAAGCAAAUUUAUGUUUAAUGGUUCUACAAAUAUUCAUGGAGUAUCUAUUACCUUAUAAGUUUGAAUAUACUUCCACAUUUUUGUCUUAUUUUGCCACAUUUACUUAGAGGAAUUGGACCCUACUAUGGCCUUUUGGAAAUCUAAUCUUCAUCUUCAUUGUAUAUUUCUAUGUUUUGCUUCAAAAGUUAAUAAUUGCUGUAGUGAAUCGGUUGGUCUUCAACUCUACAAUUUGCAUAUGCGUCAAAUUGAACUUCUCCUCUUCCAAUAUAAGGCUUAAAUGUCAAAAAACCAGUAAACUCAUGCCUUUUGGAUGUGAGCUAGGGAAAAUAUGAACAACAAUAUGAACGGUCUGAGGAGUUCCAGCAGGAACUCAAAUUGAAGGUUCGAGAAAUAUUAACCGAGCAAGAAUGGCGAAGAAGGAAAAUGCAGAUGAGGAUAUCAGAAGAGGAAGGUCGAUUGAAGAAGGAUGAAGAAGAACAAAAGGAGAUGUGGAAGAGAAAGCGUGAACACGAGGAGCAGUGGGAAGGAACAAGAGAACAGAGGGUUUCAAGCUGGAGAGAUUUCAUGAAGACAGGAAAGAAGGGUAAAAAAGGAGAAAUUCGACCGCCGAAACUCAAGACAGAGGAUCCCAACAAAUCCUAUGUUCAAAGGCCUGUAAAGCGAGGUUAACUGUAGAUUGGGGGUCAACCAAGUUUUCUUGAGAGCUGAAGAGUGCUUUUAAUUGAAAGGAUUAAAACUUUAUAACAGUAAUAUAUUAAUACAUUUAAAAGAGAUUGUAUAAUACAUUUAUUAAUGUGUUUUAUUUUCAAAUCCUUGAAGAAUCAGUUCAAACAGUUACCUUGCAUUAGUUUUUGACAAAAUUGUAAAACAAAAGCUUGUACUACAAUUUUAUUGACUACCAACAAUGUGCCAAAAGCUGGUUUUGUCAUAGGAAAGCAAAAAAGCAAUAUUGCUUACAAAGAUGCUUCUGUAUGGAAAUGCAAAAAGCAAUAUUUG